rnacentral:rRNA from 1 species
GAUGAACGCUGGCGGCGUGCUUAACACAUGCAAGUCGAACGAUGAAACCUAGCUUGCUAGGUCGAUUAGUGGCGAACGGGUGAGUAACACGUGACUAACCUGCCCCUUUCUCUGGGAUAACGCUCCGAAAGGAGUGCUAAUACCGGAUACUCACACCGAGGCACAUGCCUUGGUGUGGAAAGUUUUUCGGAAAGGGAUGGAGUCGCGGCCUAUCAGCUUGUUGGCGAGGUAACGGCUCACCAAGGCGACGACGGGUAGCCGGCCUGAGAGGGCGACCGGCCACACUGGGACUGAGACACGGCCCAGACUCCUACGGGGGGCAGCAGUGGGGAAUAUUGCACAAUGGGCGCAAGCCUGAUGCAGCGACGCCGCGUGAGGGAUGAAGGUCUUCGGAUUGUGAACCUCUUUCAGUAGGGACGAAGCGAAAGUGACGGUACCUAAAGAAGAAGCACCGGCUAACUACGUGCCAGCCGCCGCCGUAA